AUCAUUUCUCAAAAUUAAAACUCUUUCAGCAAUCCAAGUUAUCCAACAAUGGCUUUCUCGUAGCCGACUAGGCUCCGCCCUUCGUCUCUCUCUUCUUCAUCCACAAUUUUAGAGCGAGAGAGAUCUGAGCUGGGAUUGGAAUUUGGAAACAGGUUCUGAAACAAGAUCCAACCUCGUAUCAAUGUCCACCAUUAACACUCCCUCCGUUUCUGAUGCAUGAACGACCACAACAGCAAAUGGGUACCAGCAGAGGAUUACCCUGAAGCGCUGGAGAUUUUGAAAGCUGCCCUUGCAAACUGUGAAAUGCUGCACAGAGCUGAAGCUAAGCAGAAAUCAAUACCCCGCUUCCAACCAGACCCAGAAACUCAGAAAUAUUUGUUUGUUGACAUUCUAUGAUAUGGAUUUCUCAAGUGGCAUGAAAAGAAUACAUUGCGAGGCUUAUGCAGAAGUCUGGUCAUCCAAAGAAGAAGUUUUCCAGUCUCCAUGGAAGCGUUACACUGACACUAUAGAGAGAUAGACAAUUUGUGUUUCAAGCAACUUUGGGAUGUCUUGAAUCAUGGCCUGGUCAUCCAAAGGAUUUUCGCCAUCGUCCAACCUCUGGCUCCAAAGAUCAUGACCGAGGAUCGUCUGAAUUUCCACCUUCAGAUUAUACACUGUAUGGGUCAGCUCCAUGUCAAUCACUGUCAAUACAUGAAAUGAUCCUGCCCUCAUGAUAUGUAAACCGAUCUUCGCUGGAAGCAUGUCAGGCCCAUUUUGAUUUGCUGCAGAGUCAUCCCUAUAUUAAACACAAGACAUAUAACUGAGAGUCUUAAGAUACAUAUUACUGCAGUAACUACACAUAAAAAACAAAUUCCAUACACAUGUAAAUGAUGUUUUAUUUGAGUUUGAUUGUGUUUUUUGGAUAGCAUUUUGAUAUUCCAGCAACAGAACCAAGGUAUUUCCAUGAGGAAGAGAUCCACAGCUUGGUCGAUAGGAAUAAAAGAAUGCUCGGGCAACUUUGGGGACUUUACAGAUAUGUUGCAUGGUUGUUGGUUUUGGGAUAUCUUGAUUGAUUUACCUUUGAUCAUGUAUGCAGACUAUGCAUAUUCCUCUGAUAAUGAUGUUUAACAAUGUGUUUCCAAUACUGUAUUUCUUAAGACUAUUUUUUCUCUU